rnacentral:lncRNA from 1 species
CUGUUUCCCCAGUUUGUAGAAGACUAUGAGCCCACCAAAGCCGACAGUUACAGAAAGAAGGUGGUUCUCGACGGAGAAGAGGUUCAGAUAGACAUCCUGGACACAGCCGGCCAGGAGGACUAUGCGGCCAUCCGUGACAACUACUUCCGAAGCGGAGAAGGCUUUCUGCUGGUGUUCUCCAUCACGGAGCACGAGUCUUUCACCGCCACAGCUGAGUUCAGGGAACAGAUCCUCCGAGUCAAGGCCGAGGAGGACAAAAUCCCUCUGCUGGUCGUGGGCAACAAGUCUGACCUGGAGGAGCGGAGGCAGGUGCCCGUGGAGGAGGCCCGAGGCAAAGCGGAAGAGUGGGGUGUGCAGUAUGUGGAGACAUCCGCAAAGACCCGAGCCAACGUGGACAAGGUGUUCUUUGAUCUGAUGAGAGAAAUCCGGGCAAAAAAGAUGUCGGAAAACAAGGACAAGAACGGCAGGAAAAGCGGCAAGAGCAAGAAGAGUUUCAAAGAGCGGUGCUGCUUGCUGUGAGCGGGCCGCGGACAGAGCGAGCGGAGAAGGCCACAUUGCAGCGCGCCGAGCCCAGGUGGCCUCCCCCUGGCUCCCCACUCUCCGCAGCUGUAUUCACUAUCACUUCUUGAGAUGGGACAGAUACCUGUGCACCAGUGGCUGGCAGGAGAAAGACGCCUUCGUCUGUGCGUCUGUGCGAUGCAUCUGCUAACGUUGCCAGGAGCUUUGAGAGUCUGCCCCCUCCCACCCUCCCUGAACCGUGACUGUCACCAGCUCUAGGGUCAGGAAUCUGAGUUGUGUUGACAAGAAAGAGGAUUGCCACGGCGGCUUGUCCCCCCCUGUUCUAGGACAUGGUCAUCUUUUGUUGGAAAAUCAAAAUGCUUCACAUUAGCAGGGCGUGCUGGUGCACCCCUGUAGUCCCAGAACUCUAGAAGGUAAGGCAGGGAGGGUAGCCUGAGCCCAAGGCCAGCCUGGGCUACCUAGCAAGACCCUGUCUCUAAAAGGAAAAAGAACUAACAUCUUAUUUUCUUAGAUUUAAAAAGAGGGUCUCUGGCAAGACCCCUCGUUAGUUCUUAUCAGUUUAGAAGUAGACAGGGGGCGGAAAACCUAAGCUCAGGUAAUACUGAAAAAGCCAAAACAAUUUGUUUUUUUUUUUUUUUUGUUUUAAAAGAUAAACUUCUGUGACUUGGAAGCAGAAUUAGAAAGAUGAACUUCACUUGGUCCAGAUAGGCUGAACCAAGCCUCCUGGCGUUUGUAGAGAAAGUGGGACGCUGUUCCCUUCAUACUUAAAUGCCAGCCAGGUGCUGGCUGUGGGCUUCCCUCCCUAACACCCUUACUUAGUAGUGAGGAAACUUUGUGUGGGGGAGAUGUAGGCCUGUGCCCCAGAACAAGCUUUCUUUUUUCUGACUGGAUCAUCUCACCUUUUCUGGUUCCCUCCCACUCCAGCCAUAGGCCUGUUCUUUUUCUUCCUUUCUGAAAAAUGUGACCAGUUCAAAUUAUGUCCCAGGACACGGGCCAGCGCCAGCUACCUCUGCAGACUCUACAAGCGGAAGAGGGGAAGGCUCAGAAGGGAGGGCCAUCUCCUGUAGCUCCCGGCAGUUGGUUCUGGUGACACUGACAUGAACCAGGUUCCAGAGGCUCACACCCACUCUCUGUUAAGCCUCCUCUCGGGGAAGGGGACUCUGGGACUGGGGGCUGCCACUGAGCACACACACUCCUCCCAUUUUCCAGAAGUGAACAUUUCACGUUUUGGUGCCGAAUGUGAAUCUGGGUGGGAAGAGCGGGAGCCCUUCUAAUGGAUGUUUUUUUUAACAGAGGUUAUGGAAUCCAAGGUCUGAUCCCUGGAAACUUGUGUCACUUCCAAAGAAUCAUGGGCUUUUUCGAAUUAAAAAAAAUUACACUUUUCAGAA